UCCUAUCAAUUUUCUCCAAGUCGUUAAAAACAGGCACAUAUCUUUUGUUGGGGAUUCUCUAGCUAGGAACCAAUUAGAGUCUCUUAUUUGCAUGUUAUCCUCUGUUUCAACACCCAAACUUGACCUCUAUAAAGGUAUUGGUUGGUGGCACUUUCCUUCUCACAAUGUAACCUUGUCAUCAUAUUGGGCACCAUUUCUUGUGCAAGGGGUUCAAAGACAAUUAACCGGUCCCGGACCACAUCAUAAUACAAUGUAUUUGGAUCAAGUUAAUGAAAAAUGGGCUUUGGAUAUGGAUAAAAUGGAUUUAAUUGUGCUUGGAUUUGGGCAUUGGUUUGCUGGCAUUCCUUCACUUUACUAUGAGGGUGAUUCAGUUUUGGGUUGCCAAAAUUUUCCUAAUCUUAAUUGCACCGAUAUUGGGUUUUAUGUCCCGAUAAGAAAGGCUUUGAGGACUGCUCUUAAUAGCAUAAUUGAGAGGAAAGCAGCUAAAGGAAAUGGAGUUGGUGUCAUUGUGAGAACAUUCGCACCUGUUCAUUUUGAAGGUGCUUGGGAUAAAGGUGGCACUUGUUCAAAGAAUACACCUUAUAAAAAAGGGGAGAAGAAACUCGAAGAAAAGGAUGUUGAGAUUAGAAAGAUUGGAAUGGAAGAAUUACAAAAUGCAAAGGAAAAAGCCAAACAAUUUGGAGGGUUUAGGUUUGAAGUACUAGAUGUAACCGUAUUAGCAUCAAUGAGACCAGAUGGCCAUCCCGGUGCUUAUAGAAAGCCAUUCCCAUUUGCUAAAGGGGUUGAAAAGAAUGUGCAGAACGAUUGUACUCAUUGGUGUUUGCCAGGGCCUAUAGACACUUGGAAUGAAAUCUUUAUUGAGAUGAUAAAGAACUGGGAGGAACAACUAAGAAGUGAAGAGUGAGAUAUUUCUCUUACAUAUCUUGUUAAUAGAAAAUUCUUGUUCUCACAAUUGUUGCUCUUUCUUUUUUUUUUUAUUUUAAAGUAAACUGAAUUUCCAUUAAAAGCCAUUCGGCAAACAAGACAUAACAUCUGAAACAACAUAAGCUAAAGCAGCAUCCGGAACCUCCUCCACCCAAACUAAAUCAGUAUAGGUUUCAGCGGUCCGGGCUAGGAAAUCCGCAACAGUAUUACCCGUGCGUCUAACAAAAGAGAAAGAAACAACAUCAAAAGCACAUAAAAGUGUGUGACACUCGCUAAUAAUAGAACUCAAAUGGGAACGCCCAACCUCCUUGGCUUUCCAAUAAUUAUAUAGCUGUAAACAGUCUGUCUCCAAACAAAUCCUCCGGAAGCCAAGAUCAAUAGCUAGCUGCAUGGUCCACCUCAAGCUCAGUGCUUCCGCCAAAAGAGGUGAGAUAGCGGAUUUGGGAUAGGAGCAUGCCGCCGCCAUCACCUCCCCCCUACAGUUCCGUGCCACCAUGCCCAACCCACUCAAGCCAUUUCCGUGAUAGGAAGCAUCAAAAUUGCACUUAAUGAUACCUGAAGCUGGCGGCUUCCACCUCGCGGGCAAGGCCACCGCCGGCGCUCUCAUCUGGUCACGCACUUGGACCUCCUCCAUCAAGCAGCUGACCCGCCUAAGCACGGUGUCCACCUUGAUCUGCUGCUGCUGGAAAUUGCUACGGUUCCUGGCCUCCCAUAUGGCGUAAGUCGUGGUCUGAACAAGAGCCAUCACCCCGUCAUCAUGCAGCUCCACCACCGCUAACCAGAAAUCUCGAAAAGUGGAGAAGGACGCCACUCGAAGUGCUAGCUGAGAAGCAAACCACACAUGCUGCGCCGCUGGACAGUGGAUGAAUAAAUGGUCCUCAGUCUCCCUUGCCGUUGCACAAAAUGAGCACCCGGGGUCUACAUCCACCUGCCGACUAAAUAGCCUCUCCUUCAAUGGCAAAUAACCUUGUAUAGCCCUCCAACAUGUCUCCUUGCAUCGUGGUAAAGCUCGUGAGGCCCAGAAAAAAUUCCAGAAUCUGGGCUCAAGCAUCACAGCCAUGGAUGAUGAUGUUUCAGCAAGCGAUAUCAGCUGGCUCAUGAACUUGUACCCCUCCUUACACGUGUAAUGGCCAUUGGUUGUGGUUGGCCAAUGAAAUUCAUCCGGGCUACCUGGCACACCCAGCGGGAUCGAUAAAAUGCUAGCUGCAGUGCUUGGAUUAAAGACAAGCUGAAUCAAGUCUGUCCUCCACCUGUGCAAAUCAUGAUCAAUAAGCAUAGAAACAUGUGUUAGUUGAAAUUCAUCAACAAGGUCUUGGCGGUAGAUGAGGGGGGCACCCCCUGGCACCCAAUUUUCAUUCCAAAUAUGAACCUGUGAACCAUCACCAAUUUUCCAAAGCCCUCCGCGCUCAAAAAUCCAACUUGUUUUUAAGAUACUGGUCCAGGCAUAGCUUGGACGGUACCCCUUUUUUGCCUCCCGUAAUGAAGUUCUAUGGAAAUAGACCCCGUUAAAGACUCGAGCAACCAAACUUUCCGGGCGAGUGUAUAAGCGCCACCAGUUCUUCCCAACUAGAGCCAUGUUAAAAGAUUUAAAAUCACGGAACCCAAGGCCCCCUUCCACUUUGUUCUUACAUAAGUUCUUCCACUUUGUCCAAUGUAGACCACGGCGGUUUGGGUCCCCACCCCAAUAGAAUCUCGCAAUCAUGCUAUCAAUAUCGGUGCCCACUAGGGUGGACAAGUAUCAAAAUGGUCCAUCAAUAGACCACUCAUCACAACCGUUGAUAUAUAAUAUUUUAAGGUAGUGGUCUAGAUUUUUCACCUUGCACUUGCGAAACAGGUGAAAUUGGUGGCCCUAACAGAUUUGUAAAAUUUGCUAAGGCACCCCUCUCUCUCAUGUGACUCCGCUUGUACUGUGACUUUCACUCGUCGCGCUCUCGCCGCCCCGAAGUCGCGGUGACCACGCCGCACCCCUCUGAUAACGCAACCAUCUUGAUAUUCUCCUUCUGGUUGUCUUCUUUCUCCGCCAUCACUGCUGACCCCUCCUGACACUCGUUGAGGAGCUCCAACUUGGCAGCCCGGUCUGGGAGAAGCGGGUUCUUCUUUCUGGUUACCGCGCCGCCCUGAAGCGCCACGACGAUGGGGUGCUUGAAAUCGACAACUUCAAUGGCUAUGAAGGUUUUGUCUGCAAAACAGAACUGUUUCUGGUGUGUGGUUUGGCACGCGGUGAUUUGAUCUUUGUGACUUGGAAGAAAUGAUUUGUUAUUUAGGGGUGUGGCUUUGGAGCUGGACAGAGUUAUGGAAUUAAUUCAUAUCAGAACUUGGAAUUGACUAACAAUGAAAAUUAAAUCGUUUCAUCAUUCUUUUUUCGAGUGGUGCACUAGCCCGACGUUGUGCUUAAAAGAUGUGUGAGUGUGAGGAUCGAGUAGUUGUUGGUGUGUGGGCUGCAGAUUGCGUUUGACAGUGGAUGAUUUGGACAGUUGGUAGUUUUGGCAUGGAUUGUGUUUUGUCUUUGCUGAAGGUUGCUGUGCAGUAGCUUGUCUGGUUGCAGGUUCAUGUUUUCUAUUUGGUUGGCCAAGUGGUGCAGGUGUUUUUGCUGGUGGUGGUUUUUGGAUUCUUGUAAUUUGCUGGCGAUGGUUUAUUUGGUGGGAACUAGGGUGUUGUUGGGGUUCUUUAGUUUCGGUAGUUGCUGCUGUUUUCUUGCUGUUUUUUAUUUAUUUUUUGCUUGUUAUCUUCUCUUUUGGUAGUGUUUUGCUUUCUUGUAUUGGCAUUCCUUUUUCAUGUAUUCAGGUUCUAGCACCCCCUGUGCUAGCUUUGAAUGCAAUUGGCUUAUCUAAAAAACUAUUGUUGAAUAUUGUUAAUCAUGAAGAACUGCUUUGCUGACCUUAAAAUAUUUUCCUGCUAUAUUACUUGGUAUUGGAGAUAGCUGACGUUUCACAUAAGAUGUUUGCUGUCUUCUACUUCCCAUGAGCUAUUCAAAUGCUUGCUGUCUUAUGUUUCGUGUGACCAAACUUCAGGGAGAGAUAGGAUUACGAAAUACACAAGACAAAUACCCAGAGACUUAUACGCCUGUAUCAUCCAGACAAGUAUCAUGGAACAUGAAGAUGUAUUGCAGCUGCUUUAGGAGAGAAUCAAAGCUGUCUGUAGUUGUUUUGGAUCCACCAAGUGUGUACUGGAGGUGUAGGUCCCAACAGAGUUGAAGUUUCAGGACAGAACUUGCAAAGCUAAUGCACGAAGAUUAUGUAGAAUAGGAAUUAUGUAUUUAUUGAUUACACACUAUUGAACUUCAAUUUUGUACAAUGUUGUAACAAUAGUUCUGAUUGCAAUAAAAUGAGACUUUUAAGUUUAA